rnacentral:misc_RNA from 1 species
UUUCCGUAGGUGAACCUGCGGAAGGAUCAUUAUUGAAUGAAACACUUCUGGCUUUAUGCUGAUGUGCUGCCCCUUUGUGCAAUGUGCAAACGGCUCUGGUCACUUGUUUCUUCUCUUCCACCUGUGCACUGCCUGUAGACACGCUGUGUCUAUGAUUUUUGUUAACACACAACAAUGUUAGUUGGCAUGUUAUAUAUAAUAAUAAAAUAUACAACUUUCAACAACGGAUCUCUUGGCUCUC